rnacentral:lncRNA from 1 species
UAACUUGGAGUUUUGAUUAUUGUUGUAAUUUAUAUUGUUAUUUUUGUUUAUUUUGUCUUUUUUUCAUUUUCGUUGUUGGUCUUCGACCAUUUGGUUACUUGGCAAGUUGUCAUAUACAGAUCCAUACAUAUAUAUAUGUACACAAAAUGAAUGAAUGCGUAAAACUCGUUGAAGAAUAUAUUUCACCUGAACAAGUCAUGUUACAUUAUGGGAAAGAAAAAAAAGUAGAACUGAUAUAUGAAAAAAACAAAGAUAAAGAAGAAAAUAGGAUAAGAAAUGAGAUAGUAAAUAAGUUAGUAGUCCUGAUAAAAAAUGACGCACAGGAGACAGAAAAAAUAAGCGAGUGUGUUAGGGACUUGGUAAGUUUGAGUUCAAAAACGGAUAUUUAUAUGAACAGUUCAGAAGAAAUGGAAAAAACUAGUGAAACGAGUAAAAUGGGCCAAUAUGUUAAAUAUAAAAAACUAAUCGAAAUAAUUAAAAUACUGCAAAAAUAUUUUUUUUGUAAUGAAAAUUUAAAAAGAGGAUCAGCAGUCCAUUUAUUAGCACAACUAUUUGAACGUCUGGAUUUACAUGAUUUAGAUAUCGAAUACCAUAGAGCAAUCAUAUUUUUUUUUGUAAAAAAAAUAAAAGAUUGGCACUGUGUUAAUGGAGUAGUAAAUUUCUUUUUUAUUAUGUUAUACAAAUAUAGUGAUAUAAUAAGGAUCAUAAAAUACGAUUCUAUGUGUUUUUCACCAGAAUAUAAAAAAUUGUUUAUGNNNNNNNNNNNNNNNNNNNNNNNNNNNNNNNNNNNNNNNNNNNNNNNNNNNNNNNNNNNNNNNNNNNNNNNNNNNNNNNNNNNNNNNNNNNNNNNNNNNNAAAUUGUGCCAAUUUUAUGAAUGGUAAUAAUGUUAUGACUAGCAAUAAUAUUAUGACUGGCAAUAAUAUUAUGACUGGCAAUAAUAUUAUGACUGGUAAUAGUAUUAUGGCUGGUAAUAAUGUUUUGAAUAAUAAUAAUAUUAUGAAUGACAAUAAUGUUUUGAAUGGUAAUAAUAUUAUGAAUGGCUGUUUAAUGUCGGGCGAAACUGAUAUAAAGCGUGAAACAAAUAAUCUAUCAAAUAUGAACUUCGUUGUUGGUCAGAACGAAAACGGAGAUAGUAAUGACUAUUACAAUGCUGAUCCCUCCAGCUAUAUUAAUCAUGAAUACGACGAAUGCGACGAGUCAAUUUCGGAUUCUUAUUCAGAGCAAUACUAUACUAACCCAAAUAAAAAAAAAUAUGAUUAUGAUAUGGAUGAAUAUUCACAUUCAGAUAUAUGUUCAGAAGAUAGUUCAAUAGAUAACGACUCAGAUGAGCUCGAAGUAACAUUAGAAGAGGACACUUGUGUUGUUUACACUAUUUUAAAAAAACUAUUUAUACAUGUACAUGCACCCAGCUAUUUGCAAAGUAUAAGAUGGAAUUAUUAUAAAAUAAUAUUAAUAUCUUUAAACAAAUUUAAUAAAGAAAUAAAACAAGUAAAAAAUUUUAUUGAUAAAAUACAAAAUCAAUUGGAAAGCGAAUCUGAUCCUCGUAACAUUUUAGUCUUAUUCGACAUAAUAUAUAUAUUAUGCAACAAAUAUAUAUCUACUUAUAGUAUGAAUGAUAAAAAAAAUGACACUACUACUAUUGUUGGUGAUAAAUAUAACACUGAUAAAGAUAGUGACGCAUUGAAUGAGUAUGAUAGCAUUUCAGACGAGGAUUCUUCGAGUACUUCUCAUUCUAUGGGUGUGUCUAAUUAUGUGGAUGUAAACGGUAUGAUCAAAAACAAUGUAACACUUGGACGAAGCGGAAAUGAAAGAAAGAAUAACGACCAACACUACCCGUAUUCAUACAAAAAAGAAAAAAAAUAUUUAAAGUCUAUGAUAGAUAUUGCAUUUUAUUACUUCCCUAUCGAAUUCAUAAAUAACGAACAUAAAUAUGAUUUAAUAACAGAAGCAGAUUUGCAAGCUGGUUUUUGUAAAUGCCUAAAAUCAAAUAAAAGAUUAGGUAAUUAUGUAAUAACAAAUAUUUUAGAUCAGUUAUAUAAUGUGGAAGAUGAUGAUGUUAACGAUAAAUAUUUUCAGAAUGUGAUUAAUACGUUAGAAGAAUGUAUUCCUUUUUAUACAUACAAAUGUUCAGCUAAGUUUAUUACUACAGUGUUGGGUAUAGUCGAAUUAGAAUGUAUUGAAAAUAAUGCAUCAGAUAAAACAGUAGAUUAUUUAAUUCAUAUAUUGUUUAUAUUUUUAAAAGAAUUAAAUAAAGAAAAAAAAAAAAAAAAAAAAAAUGCACUAUUCAAUACAUAUGUUAUUAACAUGCUUAGGAAAAUACAGAAACAUGUUAUAUUACACAAAAAAUUUUGUGAAGAGAUUGAUUUUAGUGUAUGGGAUGUAGAAGCGAACUUAACUAGUGAAGGAGAAAAAAGAACUGUAAGUAAUAAUAAUAAAGCAGAUGUAAGUAGGAAUUGUCUUAAAAUGUCUAACGGUGUAUUAUGCAGUUUGCCAAUUGAUACUUCACACGACAUCCCAUUCGAAGGAGUAUCUGUAGAAGGACAUACGAACGAAUUGUCAAAAGAAAAUGAUAAAAUAGAAUAUAGUUGUACAAAAAAAACUGAAGUAUAUACAAAAAAAGGAGAGCAAGAAAGACACGAAGAAAAAGAUCAAAGUGGUGAAGCAAUAAUAGAAUCAUUUUAUUUUCGUUUAGAUAAAGCUAGUAGUAGUAGUGAUCGUAAUGAUAUUAUUUAUAGUAGUAGUGGUAGUAGUAGUAGUAGUAAUAAUUUGUAUAAUAACUAUACGUAUUCUUCAUUAAGUAAAUCAGCAGAUACUUGCUCCAACGUCGAUGAAGUGGAUAGUGGUGAUGGUGGUGGUGAUGAUAAUAAUAUGAGCUAUGGAAGCGAACUAGAUGAUAAAAAUAUAAUUACAAUUAUAAAAGAAAAAACCGAAAUCGAUAAAAUAAAAGAAAUAAAAGAAAGUAAAAAGAAAAAAAAUGAUGUAAAAUUAAAUAAAUUAGUUUUAAUCGAAAAAAUGCUUAUAUGUAUAUCCAAAAAUAAUAAACUUAUGUUUUUAUACAUACUAUACAUUUUACUUAAGCCAAUAAUAAAAGAGUGUUAUUAUUUGAUAAAUUUUUUGACACGAGACACUAACAAGGGUUUGGUUGACAUGGUAGCGGAAAUGAACACUGUAGGUGGUAGUGGUGGUAGUGGUGGUAGUGGUGGUAGUGGUGAUAGUGGUGAUAGUGGUAGCAUUGGUGGUAAUGGUCAUGUUAAUGACGGUACAGAUCGUUCCAAAAGUAUCAAUAAAGUCAAGAUUAAUAAGAAAAUAAAAAAAAAAUGGAAUCUAUUAACAAUGUAUAUAAAAUUCGUGAAUAAUAUAAUAGAAGAAAGUGCAAACAUAAAUGACAUAUUAACCUUUAAUAUAUCUUUUGUAAAAGAAAUAUAUAUAAUAGCUCAUGUGAUAAAAAGAGGUGGUUCUACGUUGGUCAAUAGUCAUUACGAAUGUGGUCUGCAGUUGUUCAACUUACUGGCCAAUCUUAUAUGCAUGCAUGGAGGUAUCUUUGGUGUUAGUGAUAGUUGUGACAGUAUUAGUAGUGGAAGUGGUAAUAUUAGUAGUGGAAGUGGUAGUAUUAGUAGUGGAAGUGGUAGUAUUAGUAGUGGAAGUGGUAGUAUUAGUAGUGGAAGUGGUAGUAUUAGUAGUGGAAGUGGUAGUAGUAGUAGUGGUAGUAGUAGUGGUAGUAGUGGCAGUAUUAGUGAUGGCAGUGGUGGUAGUGACACUCCCAUAGAUUCUGAGUACUUUAACACCCUGUUUGUUUAUAAAACCAUUUUUUCUUUUUUCUCUAUUAUUGGGUUACACUUACCAACCGAUAGUAACGACAGUUAUAUUUUUGUUUAUCAAAAAAAUGGUAAUGAUAGUUACCAAAAAAUAGAAGUUAAAACCAUGUCAUAUGUAGACAUAUGGAAAAAUUGGAUUAUACAAAAUAUUUCGAGUUACAUGUCCGAUAUAAAGGAAAACAGCAUACGUAUCGUUACUGGUGGUGUUAGUACCACUACCAACAACAUCAGUAAUAGCAGUACCGGUAGCAGCAGUAGUAACAACAAACAACACAUAGAGAAUGCAGUUUUUUACUUUUUAAACUUAAUCAAAAAAAUAAUAAAAUAUAAAUAUGAAAUGAUACAAACGUAUAUUCAUACGAUAUUAGUUAAUACCUGUUUUUUGAUUUUAAAAUUAUAUACUUGUAAAGAUCAACAUUUUUUAUUUUAUUUAAACU